rfam:Ictidomys tridecemlineatus contig131822, whole genome shotgun sequence.
GGCAGUGUAGCUAAGUGGUAAAGCAUUUGCCUGGAAAGCAGGAGGCCCUGGGUUCUAUCACCAGUACCA